rnacentral:misc_RNA from 1 species
UACGAGGGGUGCAAGCGUUAUUCGGAAUCAUUGGGCGUAAAGGGUGUGUAGACGGCACAUUAAGUCAACUGUUAAAUUCUCCGGCCUAACUGGAGACCAGCGGUAGAUACUGGUGAGCUUGAGGAUGGAAGAGAGAGGUGGAAUUCUCGGAGUAGCGGUAAAAUGCGUAGAUCUCGAGAGGAACACCAAUGGCGAAGGCAGCCUCUUGGUCCAUUCCUGACGUUGAAACACGAAAGCGUGGGGAGCAAACAGG